AGAGUUUGAUCCUGGCUCAGGAUGAACGCUAGCGGCAGGCUUAACACAUGCAAGUCGAGGGGCAGCGGGAGGAAAGCUUGCUUUCCUUGCCGGCGACCGGCGCACGGGUGAGUAACACGUAUGCAACCUGCCCUUCCCAGGGGGACAACCUUCCGAAAGGGAGGCUAAUCCCGCGUAUAUCCUCCGGAGGCAUCUCCGGAGGAGGAAAGAUUCAUCGGGGAAGGAUGGGCAUGCGGCGCAUUAGCUGGACGGCGGGGUAACGGCCCACCGUGGCGACGAUGCGUAGGGGUUCUGAGAGGAAGGUCCCCCACACUGGUACUGAGACACGGACCAGACUCCUACGGGAGGCAGCAGUGAGGAAUAUUGGUCAAUGGAAGAGAUUCUGAACCAGCCAAGCCGCGUGAGGGAAGACGGCCCUACGGGUUGUAAACCUCUUUUGUCGGGGAACAAAGAGCGGGACGUGUCCCGCGUUGAGUGUACCCGAAGAAAAAGCAUCGGCUAACUCCGUGCCAGCAGCCGCGGUAAUACGGAGGAUGCAAGCGUUAUCCGGAUUUAUUGGGUUUAAAGGGUGCGUAGGCGGCACGCCAAGUCAGCGGUGAAAUUUCCGGGCUCAACCCGGACUGUGCCGUUGAAACUGGCGAGCUAGAGUACACAAGAGGCAGGCGGAAUGCGUGGUGUAGCGGUGAAAUGCAUAGAUAUCACGCAGAACCCCGAUUGCGAAGGCAGCCUGCUAGGGUGAAACAGACGCUGAGGCACGAAAGCGUGGGUAUCGAACAGGAUUAGAUACCCUGGUAGUCCACGCAGUAAACGAUGAAUACUAACUGUUUGCGAUACAAUGUAAGCGGUACAGCGAAAGCGUUAAGUAUUCCACCUGGGGAGUACGCCGGCAACGGUGAAACUCAA
rnacentral:rRNA from 1 species